GACGUAGGGCGCGAGCGUUGUCCGGAUUUAUUGGGCGUAAAGAGCUCGUAGGCGGCUUGUCGCGUCGAAUGUGAAAUCUCAGGGCUCAACUCUGACAUUGCAUUCGAUACGGGCAGGCUAGAGUUCGGUAGGGGAGACUGGAAUUCCUGGUGUAGCGGCGAAAUGCGCAGAUAUCAGGAGGAACACCGGUGGCGAAGGCGGGUCUCUGGGCCGAUGACUGACGCUGAGGAGCGAAAGCGUGGGGAGCGAACAGG
rnacentral:rRNA from 1 species